GUGACCUCAAAUCAGGUAGGACUACCCGCUGAACUUAAGCAUAUCAAUAAGCGGAGGAAAAGAAACUAACAAGGAUUCCCCUAGUAACUGCGAGUGAAGCGGGAAAAGCUCAAAUUUAAAAUCUGGCAGUCUUUGGCUGUCCGAGUUGUAAUCUAGAGAAGUGUUAUCCGCGCUGGACCGUGUACAAGUCUCCUGGAAUGGAGCA
rnacentral:rRNA from 1 species